GAAAAAAGUGAAAUAUUGGAAGAAAGUGAGCGAAUCAUAGAACAAGACAAAAUCAUAGAGGGUAUGCAGAAAAAAGUAAACGAAUUCUUAGGAGUGCAGAACCUUAAAUUUGUUGAGUUGUGAAAAGGAACUUCCUAAGUCUGAAAUACACAACUCAGCAACAGAUUCACCGUGUGUUUGAGAAGUGCCCUAAGCAACUGCGGUACACCAGUGGGAUAGCUGUCUCUAGUGAACAAAAGAAGAGAAAACCUCUCCAAAAUGAAUAAUCAGCACCUUCCUGGAAGACCUGUGGUUCUCCCUUUGGCUGCAGAGCAACUGAGGGCCACCACAGCAGUGAUGGAGCCUGGAGCCGUGGUGCCUCUCCAUAGGCAGACUGCAGAAACGCUGCCUCCUGACAUUUUCUUUUCCCAAAUGACUGUGGAAGAAGAGAGAAAAGUACCAUUUUCAUCUGUGUUGCAAUUUUUCUGCAAGAAACUGAGGAAGGAGCUCUGCGGAUGCACAGCCUUUUGUAUAAAUAUUUUUUCUCUGCAGUUAGAUCUCAAGUGUUUCUUCAUGAUUAGACCACAAAAAAAGAAAAAGACGCUCAGCAAUUCGGGGACACUCUUGAAUUUGCAGCUGCUUUUCCUGGGCUCUAGUACAAGCUAUCAGACUUUAAUUCUCCUCCUUAUCCACCUGAGCAAUUCCAGAUACACAAGGACAGCUUGGACUGCAGUAGAGCACGGGAGCUAACCAGAGCAAGACCUGCUCUGUGAGAUGUUCCACAGUGGGAAGCCUGGGGCAGUUCUCAUGUAGGCCUGCUUCUGUGCAUUUAAUAAGAUGUCUUGUGAUACUUGCAACGGUAAAAACAUCUCACCAGAAGUCCUCAUUUUCUCAAUAACUUUGAAUCUGUCUGCAGUGUCCCCCAUCCUACUCAACUGACUUUUGCGUGCAAAAUUAAAUGCCUGAAGGAGAGAACAAGGAUAACACAGUGACUUGGCCAAAGUUGCUCUAAGUAGUGGUAUCCAUCGAUACUAUUAUUUACUCGAUUCUGACAGCUUAUUUGGCUUAUUUUAACAAGGACACAGAGGAAAACAUUGCAUUUCAAUCGUCCUCUCUGACUACCUCUGUAGGGGUACACUGUGCGCAGUGCACAAGCGCUAGGAAAUACCUGUGACCUGUUCCAUCCUAUAAUACUUACUCUAUCCCAGCAGGAUGUCCUUUGCAAGAGCCAGGAUGAAGAAUCUGGACUCACAGCUUCAUGUGAUUAAGGUUUUAACCCUUCAGAUCCUGCUACACUUUCUUUUUCUUGACAUCCUUCCAAAGGCAUGCUGUCCAUUGGAAACUGGGUAUCUGAGUCAGAGAGAAUGAGACAGAAGAGAGAAUGAGACAGAAGCUCAACGCUGUUUUUUUGCAUCUUGGACUUCUCAAGCAAAAAAAAAAGAAAAAAAAUCUUUGCAAACUGGAAGGGUUUUUGUCCUGCACUGGCAGAAGUUUUUCAACAGUGAUUGAAAUUUGGGGAGAAAAAGUGGAUUCAGGAAGAGAACAGCAACAGCACACAAAGGGCAUCCCGAGGAUUACUGGACCAUACUGGGCUCAGGGCAAAUCAAAAUACUGUAGACGAAGAGCAAAUGCCACCGGACAAAAAAAUGGUGUGGGUUUGACUUUAAAUAAGAUUUCAUAAAUCCAGGCUUUGAGAAGUGAGAGAGAACUGGGAGAAUGAAUCAUCCCAAGCAAUUUCAAGGUAGUUUAC
ensembl:lncRNA